rnacentral:lncRNA from 1 species
GUUGCAUGUGUAUAUAUGUGGUGUGUGUGUGGUGUUUGUGUGGUAUGUGUAGGAUAUUUGUGCAUUGUGUGUGUGGUGUAUGGUAAGUGUGGUGUUUGCGUGGCAUGUGUAUGUGUUGUGUGUGGUGCGUAUAUGUGUGUUGAGUGUGUGUGUAUGUGUUGUUUGUGUGGAGAGUGUGUUGCCUGUGUUGUAUGUGUGUAUACAUGGUAUAUGUGUGGUGUUUGUGUGGUACGUAUAGGGUGUUUGUGUGUGCAUUGUGUAGUGUGCAUGGUGUGUGUGCAGUGUGUGUGGCAUGUGUAUGUAUGUUGUGUGUCUUGAGGGUGUGUAUGUGUGUGUGUGGAGAGUGUGUUGUGUGUGUGGUGUGUGUUGAGUGUGUGUCUAUGUGUGUAGACACAAGCCGGACUUUCUGCCCUAGCCCAUUCACGUGCUGGAAGGAGUUUCAGGAGAAGGAGGUUUACACAAGGCGUGGAGAAGCAGAGGGACCUUGCUCCUUGAAUCGCUCGGUUGUAUCGCCAGAGAUGAGUUUGUUGUUCUUGGGUCUUUCGCUGCUUUCUCUUCUCUCAAUGAUAUGUGAAAAUAACCCAUAAAAAUACAGAGGUAAGUUCAUGUAUUAAUUCCUUUUUUUUUUUUUUUUUUUUUUUGGUCUUUUUGCUAUUUAUUGGGCUGCUCCCGCGGCAUAUGGAGGUUCCUAGGCUAGGGGUCUAAUCAGAGCUGUAGCUGCCGGCCUACGCCAGAGCCACAGCAACGCUGGAUCCAAGCCGCGCCUGCAAACUACACCACAGCUCAUGGCAACGCUGGAUCGUUAACCCACUGAGCAAGGGCAGGGACCGAACCCGCAACCUCAUGGUUCCUAGUCGGAUUCGUUAACCACUGUGCCAUGAUGGGAACUCCUAAUUCCUAACUCUUAGCGCAAAUUUCCAGGGCACACAUCUUCUGAAACAAUCAUCAAGAGAAAAAAAUAGGUUACUGAAGUUAAUUUCAAAUUUUCAGUAAAGUACAUGUGAUUCCUUUGAUCAUGUAUUGAGGAAAUCCAAAUUCGUUAUUCUAGUUCCCUCUAAGGGUGGUGACCGAGUGACAAUUGACAGCAGAAAUCCUUUGAAGAGGAAAAAGCAGUAUCAGUUUAGUCCUCAAAACAUAAGGCUUUGUGGGGAGUUCCUGUCGUGGCUCAGUGGUUAACGAAUCUAACUAGGAACCAUGAGGUUGCGGGUUUGAUCCCUGGCCUUGCACAAUAGGUUGAGGAUCCGGCGUUGCCGUGACCUGUGGUGUAGGUUGCAGACGCGACUCGGAUCCCAUGUUGCUGUGGCUGUGGCGUAGGCCAGCAGCUACAGAUCCGAUUAGACCCCUAGCUUGGGAAUCUCCUUAUGCCAUGGGUACAGCCCUAAAAAGACAAAUGGAC